rnacentral:rRNA from 1 species
UACGUAGGGGCUAGCGUUGUCCGGAAUCAUUGGGCGUAAGCGCGCGUAGGCGGCCCGGUAAGUCCGCUGUAAAAGUCAAAGGCUCAACCUUUGAAUGUCAGUGGAUACUGCCGGGCUAGAGUCCGGAAGAGGCGAGUGGAAUUCCUGGUGUAGCGGUGAAAUGCGCAGAUAUCAGGAAGAACACCAAUGGCGAAAGCAGCUCUCUGGGACGGUACUGACGCUGAGACGCGAAAGCGUGGGGAGCGAACAGG